CUCUACGGCCAUACACCCUGAACAUGCCCAAUCCAUCUGAUCUCCGAAGCUAAGCAGGGUCGGGCCUGCUUAGUACUUGGAUGGGAGAAAAUGAGUGAAAGACAGGAGAUCUUUAUC
ensembl:rRNA 5S_rRNA 5S ribosomal RNA